AUUGAACGCUGGCGGCAUGCUUUACACAUGCAAGUCGAACGGCAGCGCGGGCUUCGGCCUGGCGGCGAGUGGCGAACGGGUGAGUAAUGCAUCGGAAAGUGCCCAGUAGUGGGGGAUAGCCCGGCGAAAGCCGGAUUAAUACCGCAUACGACCUGCGGGUGAAAGCGGGGGACCGAAAGGCCUCGCGCUAUUGGAGCGGCCGAUGUCGGAUUAGUUAGUUGGUGGGGUAAAGGCUUACCAAGGCGACGAUCCGUAGCUGGUCUGAGGGGACGACCAGCCACACUGGGACUGAGACACGGCCCAGACUCCUACGGGAGGCAGCAGUGGGGAAUUUUGGACAAUGGGGGCAACCCUGAUCCAGCCAUGCCGCGUGCGGGAAGAAGGCCUUCGGGUUGUAAACCGCUUUUGUUCGGGAAGAAAUCCUCUGGGCUAAUACCCCGGGGGGAUGACGGUACCGGAAGAAUAAGCACCGGCUAACUACGUG
rnacentral:rRNA from 1 species